rnacentral:tRNA from 1 species
GCCCAGCUAACUCAGUUGGUAGAGCAUGAGACUCUUAAUCUCUGGGUCGUGGGUUUGUGCCCCACAUUGGGUG